AUCUAGGCGUGUUUUAUGCAUCAGCAGCACACUGCAUUACUAGUCUGCACACACAAUUAGGGCUUUAUGAUCUUUGAAGUCAGUUAAUAAAAAGAUUUAUAUAUUUGCAGUAAUAAAAGUCUGAGAAGCAAUAGGAAUAGGUGUUUCUUAGAGCUACAGUCUGAUUCUCCUUUGGCUCCUUUGUCUUCAGGUGGGCUCUCUUCAGUCCUCACCCUGAUUUGAGCACAAGAAGAAGAGAAGAAAAUCCAUCCCUGAAUGCAUGCCUAGGGACGUCUGCUUUUAUAGACAUUGCUUUUUUUUCAAACCAUAGUCCUGUGGAGGGGAAAGCACUGCAAGAAAGACCAGAUUCUGCCAUGGGUAUUAAACUGUGCAGUGUGAUUCUUCUGAUGAAUUCACAGCAGCUUCUUCAAGACUGGGACUGAGUCUGGCUCUGGUGAGCAAUGUCCGAAGGGGUGAACCUGGCCCUGAUGGACUACUCCCAAGAAGGACACUUUGCCCGGGGGUCUCAUGCCUGGUUGCCGGCUGUGCUCCACCAAGCAGGCGGGAGCCAGGUCAUGGCUGGAUGCAGGAGUGAAAGUCACAUUCAGAGAAGUGUGGAUUGAAUGAAGGAAACGGAUGGUGGGAAAUGAAGCACAGCCAACCCCCUGAUUUUCUGCAAGUUAUAAAUGCUGUACAAAAUUUUACUUUUGACACCGGAAAAUGCUUUCUCCUGUUGUUCCAAGUGACUCCAGAUGCUGAUGUACUUAGUACACAGAGCAAGUUCCCCAACUGGAAUGAAAAAGCAAGGUAGUUGAGUUUACAUUCAUCUGUCAAUAUUCCUAAGGGACAGACUGAUCAGCCUGCCAAGUUUGCUCUGCUUAUGCAUGAGAGUGUGAGCUUAAACCAACUGGAGAUUCCCACAGUAGAUUCUCCCCAGUGAAUAGGGGAUCUCUGCUGCUGUAAUCUGUUAGAGGGGGUGGGACCACUUCUGUCACAACUGUUCUCCCAUGUCCCACAAUAUCAGGAGAUGGGCUGAAUGUUUGGCAGGAAAAGAAAGACAAGGUUGGGUAGAAGUGAGUUUUAACGCAUCAGAUUUCUCCCUGACCCCAGUCCCAUUUUCAGAGGACAAAGCAGUAGCUUCUUCCUAGGGUUUUCUAUGCUUCUCAGUAUUAUAAUAUGUGAGGCCUUCACAUACACGUAUUUCCUUAUCUUUCUAUUCCAGUGAAAGAUUGUCAUCCCUAUAUGUGAAACAGAACAGGGUUAUCAAAGCAAAAAGUUUCUUUUAACUUUGGCCGAGCAGUCUGGGACAGUUGUGAGCGGACUUUUAGAAUCAUAGAGUCAUAGAAUGUCCUGAGUUGGAAGGAACCCACAAAGAUCAUCGAGUCCAACUCCUGGUCAGGACAACUCCAAGGGCAUUGCUGAAAUGCUUCUUGCACUCUGUCAGGCUUGGUGCUGUGACCACUUCUCUGGGGAGCCUGUUCCAGUGCCCAGCCACUCUCCAGGUAAAAAACUUUUUCCUGAUAUACAGCCUAAAACCUCCCUGACACAACUCCAUGCCAUUCCCUCGGGUCCUGCCACUGAUCACCAGAGAGGAGAGAUCAAGCACCUGCCCCUCAGCUUCCCCUGUGAGGAAGCUGUAAACUGCUGUUAGGUCUCCCCUCAGUCUUCCAUUCUCCAGGCUGAACAGACCAAGUGACCGCAGCUGCUCCUCAUAUGGCUUUGCCUCUUGGCCCUUGACCAUCUUCUUAGCCCUCCUUUGGACACUCUCUAAUAGCUUAACAUCUUUCUUAUAUGAUGGCACCCAAAAGUGCACACAUUAUUCAAGGUGAGGCCCCACCAGUGCAGAGCAGAGAGGGACAGUCCCCUCCCUCGACUGGCUGGCGAUGUUUUGCCCCCCAGAACAUGGUUGGCCUUCCUGGCUGCCAGAGCACUGCUGACUCAUGUUCAACUUGCCAUCAACUAGGACCCCCAAGUCCCUUUCCAGGGUGCUGCUCUCCACCCUCUUGUUCCCCCAGUUUUCAAAUAACUUGGCUUUUUUUACUUUAAAUAGCUCUGUAUUUGACUAACUGCUGUCCUUCAUUUAAGACAGUUCCAUAGGGGACCUCCCUGUAGCUAGACCAUACAAACAGUAGCAAUCUCCAUCCCAAGUACGGGAGCAAUCCCUGUAACAGAGCAGACAUGCAAGACGUGUGAGAGAAGAAACAACUAUGGCCAACAUUCAGUGCAUAUAUUCAGGAAAUAUAUGAAAGGAAAGCAGAAAAGAUGGGAGAAUCUGUAAAACAAAGGAACAAAAGAAUAUUCGAUCCUCUGGUCUGGAAGGAAACCAGGGAAUGUGUCUCUGAUGAACACUGAAAUUAAGAGCCUCUUUAGGUGAGCUCUGGGUGGCAGGAGCUGGUAAGAAUAAACAAAGGAACUGUCUCCUGAUGUUUGGCUUCUGUUCCAUCUGAGGAAACAGUCUUGUAACCAACUCAAAGAAAAAGUGGCUCCACCACAAACAACCCUUAGCACAUUGGCUCUAAUGCCAUCUUAAGGCACAAGUGUGCACAGACGAAAGCAUUUGGCUCCCAAUUGGAAAGGCAGGCCCCCAAAGCAGAUGCCAGUGGAUAGCACGUUUGAUGAUACGUGGGCUGGAUUCACUGUGUGCAUACUAUGAAGCUGGCAUAGACGGGUGCAGCAAAUCUUACAUGUCAAAUUUAAAACUGGGAGGACUCAAAAAAUACAAGUAUGGGGGGUCAGGAUGCUUUGUGCAUACAGGUCAGUCACCUUCAGACAUGUACCAUGCCCAGGGCUGCUUAGCUGGGCUCCCCUUCCUGAGCUCUCCUACUUUUGUUGCUAUCAAGUGUCUCACUGAUGAAUCUGGCCUGGCCAGUGGCAAGCUGUAGUUUCCCUCAUGGUCCACUGUGAGAACCUGGAGUUUCACCAUGGGUGGUGGUGUCUGUGAUGAGUAAGGAAUCUUGCAGAUAGGCAGAAACCAGUCCUGAUGAACCAGCACUCAAGCCAUGUCACCAAGCGUAAGCAGAACUUGUUGACCUAAGCCUCCUGGUCUCUCCUGCAAAGAAGACAGGCAAGACUGAAAAGAACUGUGGGCAAGCAGGAGGGGGCCACACACGCAGAGAAAACCAAGUCAGAGUGCCAACAGUUGAGCCACUGAGACUUUCUGAGCUCAGGAGGCUACAGGUCUAGUGGCUGAGCCUCUUGCUUCUUUGCUUUCCCACGAAUGAAGGACACUUGUGCUGGCACCAGCACAUCUAGGACCAGAAACCACAAUUAGAGACCUCCCUCUUCAGAUAUCCAAAGGGAUCCUCUGUUUGUAUCUCAAAGCAGGGACAUGGUGGUGGUAAGAAGAGGAUCAUCUCCUGCUAUUAAUAGGCAUGCUGUGCAGUGGCACCUGGAAGUAAAUGCCAGAAUGCCCUAGUCAGUGUGGGAUAUGUGUACGAAGAAUGUCAGACCAUGCAGUGGCAUCUCCUUGUGUUUAAGGGGCUUUGGGCAUGGUAACAGGACAACGUGGCAGAUUUCCAAGGGUCCUGGAUAUGGUCUAUGGGGCUUGGUGUGCCCUUCCUUGUCUGACAGCCCUUGCAGCUGUGGGAUCUGCUGUUACUCCCAUGCCUCGGGCAGCCAUUGCCUCCAGUGAGAAACAGGGAAAUGGGAGAGGCAAAUGAGUGAGAAAGGGGUAAACAGUAUUUUGCUCAAACUGAAGUGGGGAAUGUCCUUGCUCAGCAGUUGUUCUCAGCUACCUCAGUGUCCCAGGGUAAGCUCCCUUCAGAAAAACAGAAACUGAUCCAGACCAACAUCUUCUGUAAGAGAGAGCAAAGAGGAGACUAGGAUGGGAGAGCAAAUGAAUGAACCCCUUUUCAGGCUGUGUUCCUCAGAUUUUAUUGUUCAUCCUCAGUUCAGCACAAGGGAAUAAUGGCGUUUUCCUCACUUUGUACAGUGCAGGAGGAGAGCAACCGGGUUUCAAGCCUCUGGCAAUUCCUCUGAGGGUGAAUAUAUAUUCUCCCAAAACAAGGAUUCUUCCUUCCUGGGAAAGCAAAGCCAGCAGUCCAAACUGGAGUUAAAGAAUCAAAUAUAUUUACAUAAAAUACAUAAUGCAUUGUAAUAAUAAAAUAAAUAAUGAGUGCAAUUUAUGAUUGGGUAAGUUAUAGUAAUAAAAUAUGAACUAUUUAUGCAAACCAAAAUUCUUAAUCUCCCAGAGGCAAGUAUUCAGUGCAUGGAGAAACUCUUUCAAGGUGCACAGCAGAGCUGACAGCAAGCAGCACAUCCACACUUUCUCCAGGAGGGUGUAAGAGGAGGAACAGGCCAACAAAACUGGAAGCACAUCAAGUAGUUUUCCUAGCUGUUAGCAUGGGUUACCAUGCCCUGGCUAUUAUCCCCAGCUCUCAGCAGAGUUGCUGGUCACUCUGCCCCAGUAGGAAGGUUCUUGCUUCCAGUUUCUGUUGUGCUUUGCUGCCACAGUCACUUCUUCCCCCCCCCCCCCCCAUAUGAAUUGCUGCAGAGUAAGGAGAAAGACAACAGCCCAGAGGUGGACAAAAUAAAAGGCAACAAGGAGCCUUGUGGCCUACCUGCUUUCCUUUCCUUCUUUCUCCAAGCCAGAAAGUUCCUAAGCAUGAGCAAGCCAAAAUGUAACUUGGCACCAGUGCCAUAGAUAAACGUUGGUAUUUUUCCUGGCAGUUAGAAAGAAAAUGUUUCCAAGUGUCCAAGGAGACUUUUCUCUUAGAGGAUGGCCCGCGGGCUGUGUGAGUUUCUCACAGGUUGUUCUUUCUGCUGCCUGUGCAUUCCCCAGAGAGGAGGUGAGAGGGGUUUUCCUCCCUGCAAUUGCAGCAGGGGAGCCCUAAGAGCUGCUCUGGUGCUGGGGGUAAAGCUGCUCCCUGGUAUGAGCUCCCCAAGAAGUGCUGAACACAGGGACAUGCAUGCACAUCGGAAAGAGCAGGCGCAGCAAUGUGUUCUGCCCAAUAAAGCCACCUCAAGCUCUGUUGUCACUAUGGGGUAUGCUUACAAAAAAAGAGCAGGCUAGUCAGAAUAGUCAGAGAAGACAACUUACAGACCUGCCUCUUUUGAAUGCUGCAGAAAGAAAGAAAAGCCUUAUGGCAAGUUGGAGCAGCUUGUGAAGUGUAGUAGGAUAAAUAACUCCUUGCGAACAGAAGUCGAAACAAAAACAGGAUCAACAGCUGCUCUCCCACCUCACAACUUGUCCUGCCUACUCCAGGUUGAGCUCCAGGCUGAUGCCAAGUUCUCUUGCUUUGGAAGAAAAUGCUUAACUGUUUAAUCAACUGAGAUUGCUGGACAGCAACUUUUGCAGAUACACAAGCAUUUCAGGAACCAGUAGCAAUUAUGGAACGGCCAUAAUAUGGUUGUUACUUCUCAUCAUCAAAACAGAUGUACAGACAUUGAAGUGCACACUAUUUUUAGAUAUCUGGAUGUAUUCCUGAUGAAGAUUCAGCUUUCAGCCACAGUAAUUCUUCUGGUUUGAUUUUUUUUUUUCUCAACAUUAUUUAUUAUUAUUUGACCUUACAUUUGUUUCCAAGAACUCUGUCUAGGAAUAUAGCAAAAAUACCAGUACUACCAGCCAAGAAAGUAAUUCAUAUAUCCCAUACUGGAUAAUUUUUUCUUUGUACUUUUACACAGAGAAGAAACUGAAUAUAUCAUGGAUUUAGGCUGUGGGUAAACAUUAGCUACAAAAUUUUAUUUCAGAAGAAUAUUGGGAGGAAGUUAGGAUUAUCAUAGGAAAAGGACUUGACUUUUUUUUACUGGUGCCCAUGGGAAAUGCUGAUCACCUACAUGCUUCAGGAAUUCAGCAUAUGUAUGAUAGCUGUUGAGUAAUUGCAAUUAUUCCCUCUGCAGUUUAAUCUUCUUCAGCCAAAAGCAGAAUCCAAUCCCAUGGGUACAAUUUCCACAGUAACAACUACAACGAAUCGGAUGCGUUAACAUAUAUUUGGAAGGAUUUUUCUUCAUCUGGUGGAAAAGGGAAUAUGAGAGACAAAGGCCCCGUAUCAUUGACCAACUGAAUGACCAUUACUAGGCUGGUAUGAGGAUAACACUCUCUCCACAAGCAGCAGGUCUAGGUCUAUGCAGAUAGAAAUUGGUACAGUCAGAGUUUUCUUAAUAUCUGGGAUGAAAUCCUAGCUAUCAAAAUAAGAAAAUUUUCUUCCUAUAUGGAGAGAUAUUUCUUCUCAGUAUGUAUAUUGCUCAGCACUGGGGUGAUAAAUAUCAGGCUUGCUUAACAGAAGUUGGAUUUGCAGAGUGCUUAGGAAUAUUUUAUUCACCAUAAGUCUUUUUAAUGGGCUGUUGACCAACCUCUUUGCUUCAGAAAACAGUAAACCAAGUAGCUGGUCUGUUUGUUGGCUCAUAUAUCUGGAGAUGAGGGGUGACAUAUGACAUCUUGCAACUUGCAAUAUUGCCAGGUUUGCAACCUGUAGACUUCCAUAUAAAGACCAUGAAAACAGCUUUGAGUUGUUUGACACAAGGAUUUCACUGUGCUACUGUGACACUGUCUAUAAGAUACAACCCAACAUUUUCAAAAGUGGAAAGAGCUACACAAAAUUACAUGCUCCUCUAGAGUCUGAGUUAAUUUGAAGCCACAAAGCUAACCUUGGAGUCUUGUGCUGACUCCACAUACCGAAGCUUUGGAAUGACACUCCCUAUCUCUGCAACAACCCUACUAAUAGCCUCUACUUGCAAGUGGAGAAGAUUUUAAUUUAAAAUCAUGGAUUUGUCUCAUUAUUGCACAUUCAACUAAGACAAGCAGUCUUUGCAGCUGUCAUAACUUUCAUCCACAAUGAAACUGAGGAGAUGUUUGUUAAGCAUCAAACUCCAGUCCUUGGGACAAUUAACAUCUUGGCAAGUCUCCUGCGGCGAUAUCUGGUGGACAGUCAUCAGUACACCAAAUUAUGCAUGCUUGCAAUUUGAUCUUCACCAACUCAAUUUCCUUCCCUUCUUUAGGAAUUCUUUCGCUGCCUUUAUGCCCAAGGGAUAGAUGGAAAAGAUAGCUGUACACAAACUGCUUAAGCUCUGAAGCUAAUACUGAAAAGUUAAUUCUACUCCUGUUUAUACUGCUACUUUGCUCUACAAAGACUAUGUUAACAAUCUGUGAAAUUCAGCAUUAAAAAAAACCCAAAACAAACAAAAGAAAAUGUAUUUCCAUUUAUCCAAACUGGCUCUUUUAUAGUUUAUUAUGGCCUGUAUAAGAGACAAUGGCUUAUCUAUGGCAAAAAGGCAAAAUGACACACAGAGAGUUGUGAUUUGGUGGAAUUUCUAUCCUAUAAUUUGGCACUAUUUAAGCAUUUAGGAAAGCAAAUUUGAAUUAGCUGACUGUGGAGAUUAUCUUAAGUACACAAGCAUUAUCAAGGGGCAGGAGAGUGCACAGACUGUUGGUCUCUGUCACAAGUUAUAGAGCACUUUAGAGUUCACAUUUUACAGGAUAGAAUAAUCUUUUUUAGUCAAAAAAAAAUAAAAGGAAGCUUCUGAGGAAGCAAAUAGAACUUUAUUGUCAAUUUAAGCAUUCUGGUUUAGAUUAUUAAUUAUACUUAUGUGGUAUCUGUAGAAAUAUUUUUUAGGUAUUUGUGAAAUUUGACAUCUUUAGGAAAGUUUAAUGUCUUUAUUACUUUCGGCAGACCUUUGGAAGUUAAAGUCGUUCAUCUCAGAGACAAUAUUUUUCUGUAUUCUGUGAAUUUCUGUGUGAGAGUCAUUGAAAUGGAAACUGUUGGGAACUACCACUGCUUUUCUCUUGUUGGGUUUCUCCAGGAAAGGUCAGGGCAGUCUGCCAACAUAGUAAUUGGGCAACAUCAUUUUAAAGACCCAAGUUCUCACUGACACUGAAACAGUAAUAGUAGAUGAAACAUUAGGAGAAAUUGUACAGCAAAAGCAGAAUGAAAUUUCUAGACUGGAUUUAACAGAGAUGAGGGUUAAGAAGGUUUAGUAAGGUAGAGGAAAUAGAAGUUGAUUUCUAGUAAGUGGUCUUUCAGCUCCAGGAACUGGACCAAAUAACUCCUAUUUAUGCCUGACAUUGUACCCCCACUUCAAAGCCUAUACCUGCAAUGACAGCUUGUGUUACUCAAUAAAUGGCUUUUUUUCUCCCUAGAAAACAAGCUAGGACAUCCAAUUCCCUAAGCCCCAGUCAGUAAAUAGUAUAAUUUAAGCUACAGUGUCAGUUCCAGAUACAUUAGAAAAUGACAGAUUUAAGACUCUCUAGGCAAUCUUUUUUUGUCCCUCCCCAUGUGCAUAUGCUUUCUUACAAACCCUUCCAUGACACAGUCAUAUUUUAGACUUUCCCACAGGAUGCAUGCCUCAUUCUGUACAACACAGGAUAAUCACACCCAGUGGCAGAAAUAAAUUAGCACAGCACUCUUAAUCUGGUAUUUCCUAAUUUUCCUAAUUUCCUUAUCCUUCAAUGCUGCCCUAAUCUAAACAAUAUUCUUUUAAUGUAAUUUUUAAAUGUUAUCAUUUGAAUAUAUAUGUAUGCACAUUUGUGUAUCUCUCCAUCUAUCUGGAUCUGUUAAUGUAUUGGUAAACACAAAAGAAAAAGAUAAAA